rnacentral:rRNA from 1 species
CCUAACACAUGCAAGUCGAGCGGUAACAUAUAGGUGCUUGCACCUUAGCAGACGAGCCGCACAGGUGAGAAUUGCGCGUGAAAACGCGCUGUGGUGUGGGACACCACUUUUAAACAACACUGCUAAUACCGCAUAAUGUCUACAGACCAAAGGGGGCUUCGGCUCUCGCCUUUAGAUUGGCCCAAGUGGGAUUAUCUAUUUGGUGAGGUAAUGGCUCACCAAGGCGACUAUCCCUAUCUGGUUUGAGAGGAUGAUCACCCACACUGGGACUGAGACACGGCCCACACUCCUACGGGAGGCAACAGUGGGGAAUAUUGCACAAUGGGCGAAAGCCUGAUGCACCCAUGCCGCGUGUGAGAAAAAGGCCUUCGGUUUGUAAAGCACUUUCACUCAGGAAGAAAGGUUAAUAGUUAAUACCUGCUAUCUGUGACUAUACUGACAAAAAAAGCCCCCGCUAACUCCGUGCCAACACCCGCGGUAAUAGUAAUACGGAGGGUGCGAGCGUUAAUCGGAAUUACUGGGCGUAUAGCGCAUACGCGCGCUUUGUGUUACCAGAUAUGAAAACCCCCGGCUCUCCCUGUGAACUGCGCUUUUAAAACUGACAAACUAGAGUGUGAUAGAGGGU